AGUGAACGCUGGCGGUAGGCCUAACACAUGCAAGUCGAACGGCAGCACAGUAAGAGCUUGCUCUUACGGGUGGCGAGUGGCGGACGGGUGAGGAAUACAUCGGAAUCUACUUUUUCGUGGGGGAUAACGUAGGGAAACUUACGCUAAUACCGCAUACGACCUACGGGUGAAAGCAGGGGAUCUUCGGGCCUUGCGCGAUUGAAUGAGCCGAUGUCGGAUUAGCUGGUUGGCGGGGUAAAGGCCCACCAAGGCGACGAUCCGUAGCUGGUCUGAGAGGAUGAUCAGCCACACUGGAACUGAGACACGGUCCAGACUCCUACGGGAGGCAGCAGUGGGGAAUAUUGGACAAUGGGCGCAAGCCUGAUCCAGCCAUACCGCGUGGGUGAAGAAGGCCUUCGGGUUGUAAAGCCCUUUUGUUGGGAAAGAAAAGCAGCAGGUUAAUACCCCGCUGUUCUGACGGUACCCAAAGAAUAAGCACCGGCUAACUUCGUG
rnacentral:rRNA from 1 species